rnacentral:rRNA from 1 species
CAGCCGCCACGGUAAUACGUAGGUGGCAAGCGUUGUCCGGAAUUAUUGGGCGUAAAGGGCUCGCAGGCGGCUUCUUAAGUCUGAUGUGAAAGCCCCCGGCUCAACCGGGGAGGGUCAUUGGAAACUGGGAAACUUGAGUGCAGAAGAGGAGAGUGGAAUUCCACGUGUAGCGGUGAAAUGCGUAGAGAUGUGGAGGAACACCAGUGGCGAAGGCGACUCUCUGGUCUGUAACUGACGCUGAGGAGCGAAAGCGUGGGGAGCGAACAGGAUUAGAUACCCGCGUAGUCCCUGUCUCUUAUAC